UCACAACAUUGAUAAAUCUGUUUUCAAACCUGGAAACAGUCCCUUGGUGCUAAUAUUUAUAUGUAUAUAAUUUUUAUUGUGAUGUUAAAUCAAUGGAGAGUUUCAUGUUAUUCACAUAACAGCAGGCCAGGCCACAGUACUGAAUUCAUAAUGAGAUGAAAUGACAGUAAGUAUAGAUUAGUUUUGGACGUUAAAGUAGACUUUGUAUUUUACUGGGUUUUAGAAAUAAUAUACAAUUACAACAUGGAAAAGAUGAAAUUAUUAAUGUUAUAAAAAUUCAAUUUGUUUUUACUCACUACUAGAGUAUUGCUUUGUCAUAUGUCUCAUAGUUAUACAUUUUAGGUUUAAAAGUAGAUAAAAAGUCCUAUUUUUAAAAACCCUCUCAUUGAUGGAUGCUAUUGGUGCAGUAUCAAAAUCUGUCAGGCCUUUAACAUUUGAGAGUAGUAAAUAGCUCUAAUAACUAUUUCAGAGUUUGUGCAGUAUCAAUAUCAGCUCAUACUUGUAUGCAAUGUCUUUGUUUAAGACAGUUUACAUAAUGCAUCAAACACAGUGCCUACCAGUAGUGAGUAGUCAUUUAUUAUAUAAACAUAUUGCCUAUUGAGAGAAGUUUUCUGUUUAUUUAGUGAAUGUAUGGAAAGCAUGAAUUUGAUACUGAUUCAUAUAAGCCAUCUCUUCUGAUUGUCACAAAAAGGCUAUAUAAGCCCUAUGUGAAAGAGUAAGAGGUGAAGAUUCAGAGAGGUUCAGUAACUUGCCCAAGGUGGCACAGCCACCUUGUGGUAAAAGUAGGAUUUGAACCCAGCUUAGCUCUACUCUAAAGUCCAUAGUCCUUUCACUGCUCUUUGCUGGUUUCAGUAUAGUAUAAAAAUAAACAAUUGAUAUUAAAUAAUAUAUGAACCAGGAAUCUUGGAAUAUUUACUUUGUAGAAUUUAUUUUCGUCUUAAUCUAGCCUGAGAAUGUUAAGAAAUCAGUUCUAAUGGUGUUUUCCCAGAAUGUUAUUAUUUAAAUUAACAAUGUUAGUGGAAUCCACAAAUAGACAUCACCAGCUAGCUGCUACCUGGAAAAAGAGAAAAAAAUCUGUACUUUAAUGUCUGUCUUGCUUGAAAAUAUAUGUUUUAUUUUAAUUAAUAUGUUUUAUGCCAUGACUAUCAUUAAAAUUAUUCUUCUGAUCAUAUCAAUGUUACCUUUUGUGCCACCAAUGCUUUAUUUUGAUGUGCUUCAGAAAGAGUAAAAUAGUCAGAAAGUACAAUGUUUAAUAAAUGGCUUGAAAUAUUUUGAGGAAAAUUGAUCAAAGGUAGUUGACAUUGGGUUUUUUGUUAUCACUGUGUUUAAUCUGUAAAUGAUAAUCUAGUAAUUUGGCUAAUAUUUAUCGUUUUUUAAUUUAGGUCAAUAUACUUCAGUUUGUUAAAAAUAUGCUAUAAAAAUAACUGGUAAUAACUAGGUACAUAUAGAGUUUAGUUUGACGAAUGAGAAAUAUGUACCAAUUAUCCAGUGUGCAAUAUUUACCAAGAAUUAUAGUUUGCGUCUUCAUUGCAAAACAAAUGGUCUCUUUAGUUUCAUUCAGUAAACAGCAGCUCAUAUGGGAUUACCUGGUCUAUCUGUUGCAGAUUCAGCUUUCAGAGGUUAAUAUGAACUGUUUAGGGGAGAAUAACAUUCAUAAAAACAGAAGUUUCCUUUUAAUUGGAACGACUUCCAGUUCACAGACUCAUUCAGUCCUUGUCUCAUAGUCUCAGCAUGGUGUCUAGUGUCAGUGGUGGGAAUAGUAGUAGUACUUCUUCACAUUUGUGUGGCACAUCACAGUCUGAUAAAGCACUUUCACAUAGUGUCAUUUGGAUUCAGCACAAAGGGCAGCAUGUGGCUAUGGUGUGUGUUAACUGCAGCCUUGUCAUCCUGGCAGCGUACUUGUACUUUCAGAUCCAGAAAGCUAAAAGUGUUAGGGAGGUUUCAAACAGUUUUGGAACUACAGGAAAAACUGUCUUAGAAAAUUCAGGGAAGUUUGUGGAGCAGUUGAUGCAUCUGAGUUAACCUAAUUUUAAUGUGAAUCCCAAACGUGGGAAUGAGUUCCUAUCCAGGUUUAUAUUCAUCCAGAAUUUACUUAACAGUCAGAAUUUGAGUUUGACUUUCUGGUGUGGGGAAGCCUCAGUUAUCUUUUUUAGCAGUACCUUGUUUAUCCUAAUAUUCUUUAAGCUAAUGUUUCAUAAGAAGUUAGACAUCUUUCUUCUUUUACGUGUAAUUAUUUCAGGGUUUCAGGACUUAAGAUUCUUGAAAAUAUGGGUGUAUUCCAUAGAUAAUCUAGUUUAUUUCAAUUAUUUUGUAAAACUUUCAACUCUCAUUUGGAUCUUUGAACAUUUGGAAAUGUAAGCAGUUCUGAAACAAUAUACAAAGAAUAAGUAUAAACUCAAUGAAAAUACACUUACCCAAGCAAUAUUGCAGCGUAAAAUAUAUGCUUCAAGUGGUAUAAAAGUAUUUGCACUUAGAAAAUAUAUUUAAACUGUUUGUCCUCAUAAAUUUAUGUCUUCAACCUUUAUAUUUAUCUCCCAGGAGUGUCAGUUUUAUUUGUAUUUUAAUAAGAAAAUUAUAAUAAAAACUUGGUGUUUCAUUUUAGGUGAGGUUUUUGUAUUUGGGUUUGUUUUUCUACAGUAGAGUUUAAUCCAUGUGUUGCUUUUCUUCAAGUAUAGUUUAAAGGAGUACAUUUGGAACGUGUUUUUGGAAAAAGCAUAUUAAUGUAGCAGAAGAGACUUCAGUGCACACUUUCGAAGAAAAACAGUUUCUGAGCAUUAAGUGGUAAAAGGCAAUAAUAAUUCAAAUGAUGAUAACAAGCCAACCUGCUAAAAAGAAUGCAUGUUCUGUGUAUCCAGCCAUUUCACAUGAACUAACCCCAUUUAAAAGAAUACAUUUUCCAUUCACUGUGCACAUAUGUGUAAUCAUUUUUGACUAAAAUCAAUUGCCAUUAUCAUGCCAACUAAAUCUGCAGUAGAAUAUGUUAGUUGCCAGAUACAGUACAAAAAAUAUCAUUUAAGAGUAAUCAUGAUUGAAUCCCAGAAAUGAAUAGAUGCAAUUUGUAACAAUUAGUUAUAAUGCCAAGAAACACUCCAGAGAGUAAAGUUAAUGUUAAUUUUUAUAUGUAGUAACUCUAAAUUGCUAUGGUAAAGCCUAUAAUAUGGUAGCAAUAUGGGGCAUUUUAUGCUAAAAUACACUGAAACGUUAGAGAUGGGCCUAAUUGCUUUUCUUACUUUCCUGAAUA